rnacentral:misc_RNA from 1 species
AGUCACUUGUGCAUACACCUCAUCUGUAUCGGGUUCAGCCUUCAGCAGGACGUUAAUCACACGACAGAGGAUCUUAGAAGGAAGAUUAUAUACUGGCAUCUGCUGGUCUGAAGCUUGGUUUGUUGAUGCUUCAACCUGUUCAAUAUGACCUUGUGGGAAAUAGAACACCAGCUCGCCUUCACAUGGCACUGUCACAAGCGGACCUGCACAUGCUCGCCAUAGCUCCGUGUACAACGCUUUCUCAGCAUCAACUUUUCCGGCGCCGGCAGCGUUCCGGCAAUUCUCAGAAGUAGCCAUUUCGUAAACACAUACACUCAACGCAGAUCUCUCAUCCUCCAAACACUUCCAGUACAAAUCAAUUCACAACAAAACAAAAACAGGAAAAUCUCCCUUCACACAAGAUCAACUUCAAGCGAAGCCUUUACUUAAACAAUCCAAACAUGCAAACUGAAGAACAAAUUCAGAAUCGGCAGAAAUAGCAACUUUAUCUCUG